GGGAAGAUGGCUCAGUGGUAGAGCACUUGCCUUGCAUGCAUGAGGCCCUGG
rnacentral:tRNA from 1 species